GUGAGGAAUAUUGGUCAAUGGGCGAGAGCCUGAACCAGCCAAGUCGCGUGAGGGAAGACGGCCCUAUGGGUUGUAAACCUCUUUUGUCGGGGAGCAAGGAGCACCACGCGUGGUGCGGCGAGAGUACCCGAAGAAAAAGCAUCGGCUAACUCCGUGCCAGCAGCCGCGGUAAUACGGAGGAUGCGAGCGUUAUCCGGAUUUAUUGGGUUUAAAGGGUGCGUAGGCGGCAUUUCAAGUCAGCGGUAAAAUUGAGAGGCUCAACCUCUUCGAGCCGUUGAAACUGGAGUGCUUGAGUGGGCGAGAAGUAUGCGGAAUGCGUGGUGUAGCGGUGAAAUGCAUAGAUAUCACGCAGAACUCCGAUUGCGAAGGCAGCAUACCGGCGCCCGACUGACGCUGAAGCACGAAAGCGUGGGUAUCGAACAGG
rnacentral:rRNA from 1 species